CGACUUCGUGUGCUCCACGCGAGGGCCGCCUGACGCCAGAGUUUCUCCCGCAUCUGCCAUCAGAGGACCGUCGCCCUCAGGAGCCCGAGCUCCCGCGGCUUCUCCGAAAUUGGAGUUCCAGAAGCCAUCCUUGGAUAACAUCUCUAUAAUCUCCUGGGAGAAUCCUUCUUCGAAGAAAUCCUCCAUCAGAGGAGAGUUCUUGGUCUCAGUCACAUCUGAAAGAGCAAGUGCAAAUGUCUCCUGUUCACUAAGGAUAUCCAGCUCACUCUCCUCACCACACUUGUGCUCAUGUUGUUCCCUCGGCCUCAAAUGCACCAACAGACAUGUAAUAGGCACCCCUUAUAUGCCAAGCAUGAUGUCAGGAGCUGGGAAUACAGGGUGAAUCAGCUAAGCCCUGCUUCCAAGAGCGGCAUGCUGUUAAAGGGGAAAGACGCUUAUGUGCUCCCAGGACAAGGGGAUGGAAGCCAGCGAGAAGCAGAGUGAAGUCCUGAAGCUGAGCGUUGUAAUGUCUCGGUAGACCUGUGGGAAAGCUGGCUGCAGCCUCAGGAUGGAGGUCUGGAAGACAGAAGGUACACAAGGGGCCCCUCUCCAUCCACUCACCAGGGCUUGUUGCUUCUGGGCUUCCUCCUGCCAGAGGCUCCAGAUCUUCACUGCCAUCUGGGUGGGAGGUCAGGUUGGGUCUUGGGGGGUCUGCAGGGAGAGAAAAGCAUUGUCACCCAACCAGGACAUGGAGGACCAUCCAGACACUCAGUGAGAACCUCCUGGCUCUCCUGACUUUUCUAUGCUUUAUCCUGCACGUGGCUCCUGUGUGUGGACGAGGUGCUGCACUGGGCGACUCUGGGGAUGCCUGUCCUGUAGGGUUCCCAGUCCAGUGAUGGAGAGGGAGCCAAACAAUCACAAUCCAGGGUGAUCAAAGCUGUGACAGCUGGGGCUGGGGAUACAAAGGACUUGUGACAGCUCUUUAAUGGGCAGGAUCUGCCAGGUGGAGAGGCACGUACUUCCUUAGCCAUUCAUGAUUUAUUCACUGACCCAUGGGCCACACAUUGCCUGAGGCCUCCAUGGGCCAGGGACAGAAAAUGUCAGGGUCCCAGAGCCCAAGCAGUCCUGAGCCAUACCCUCCACAAGCUUCCCCAAGGAAGGGAACAGAGUCACCAUCCAGGAGGGAUACAGGCCACAGCGGAGAAAACGCCACUGCUGUCUUUGAAGACUGAGAAGCCAUGAGUCAAGCAAUACAGGUGACCUCCAGAAGCUGGCAACGGGCCAGGAAGGACUAUCUACGUGCUGGAGCCUCCAGAAGGAACAUGGUGGCCCUGCCAACACCUCGCCUCCAGCCCAGCCACAUGCAUUUGGAACUCCUGGCCUCCAGGACUGUAACAUAAUAAAAGUGUGCUGGUGGAAGCCACUGUGUUUGUGUUUCAGACCAAUCGGCAAAAGAGGGACAACCCAGCUUCUUCAUGGGGUGACUGGAGGAUUGAACAAGCAAGUCCUAAGAGCUGCUACUCAAUCAUUCAUUAGUUUAGAGCUGUCUGCUGGGCCCUAGAGCAGGUACUGUUCGUUCCAAACACUGGGGACACGCCCUGUCCUCACACAGCUCCCGCUCUGAAUGAUACAAUGGUAGUUAGAACGUGAGGGAGCGACAGACAAGAUGAGUAGGAGAGGAGGUAUGGAGUUCUAACAGGGUCCCAGGUUAAACUUUAAAAAUGUAAGCCCUGAGAGCCGCUUAGGCAGAGGGGAGGGCAACUGGAAGACUUUGAAGUAUCAGCUUGAAGAAUGACUGACUACAAGUAGGAAAGUGGUGAAGACAAGGCUGGGGAGGCAGAUAGGGGCCAGAGCAGGGUUUCCCAGGCUUAGCACUACUGACACUGGCGUGGGCCAAUCCUUGGUUGUGGGGCUGUGCUGUGCACUGUAGGAUGUGUGGCAGCCUCCCUUGGUUCCACCAGCUAGAUGCUAGCGGCACGCUGCGCUGGCCCAAGGAGUAACAAUCAAAAAUGUCUCCACACAUUGCCAAUGUCUCCUCGGCCAGCUGAGAACUGCUGGGCUAGGUCAUGCUGAUUCUGAGGAGCCCAGGAGCCAGGACUUCACCCUGUGGGUGGUAGAGAGCAUGGGUGAUCACCAAGCAGGGCAGUGAGUAGGCCCCUGGGGACAGGCAACACUCACCCAGCAGGAAGAGGUCCUGGCAAUUGUCCAACGCUGUGUCCCAGAACGUGUCCCCCUGUUCCAGCCCGAGCUGCUCCCAGUCUCCCAAGGUGAAGUCCAUGCCGACAUCCUUGAGGGUCACAAAUUCCUGAAACACAGUACACUAUUGGUCACUCAGAGGCUGGGGUCAGGGAGGAGCCCAACAGCUCACUCAGGGCACUCCCAGCCCUCAAUCUGCCAGGGCUUUGGCAAAAACCAUCCCAUCCUCAGCCUCACAAGAAUCUUGAGAUGUAAGAGACUGGAAACCCCUGUAUUUUGUAGGCAAAGAAAAGGACCUUGACUUUGACCAGGGGACAGGAUGUCAACCGAAGUUAACACAGGUGGGACUGAACCCAGGUCUGCCUGAUCCUAAAAAUCUAUUUUACGCUUUUGCUUUAAGUGUUCAUUCAAGACUUAUUUUGUAAACUUUCAAACAUACAUACAAGUAGAGAUGUAUAUAAUUAACACCCAUGAACUCAUCACCCAGGGGUCAUCUGAUUUCACCUGUGAAUACUUCAGUAUGAACAGUAACUCCUUAAUCACUGAACACCUAGACCACAUUCAAAAUCUGUAUACAGAUUAGUCUGACAUCUCAGUGGUGUGUCUUUAUAGCUAGCUCGUCUCAAUCAGAAUCCAGGGGGCCCAUACCCUGUAACUGAUGUG
rnacentral:lncRNA from 10 species